GAGAUGGAUUCCAUUUCCUGAGGGGGCGGCAGUGGCCCGUCCCCGGGCUCGGCCUCUGCCACCGGCCACCUGGCGCCAGGAAGCUUCCAUCCCUGCAGAGGAGAAAAAAAAAAAAGAGUGGAAGGAGGUGAGCGCAGCGACGACCGAGGCGAAGGAGGAGAGAGUCGGUGCGGAAACCCCGUAUGAGGGACCGAGUGAGGAAGGUUCCUGCAGGACGGGCACCGAGUUUCAGGAGGUCGCGGCCCUGCCUUUACUGGAGGGCGAGUCCCCGCCAAGCCCGGGCUUUGGAGAUGGACCGAAGAGGCGAGGGAGGACUAGGCAGAGAAAUAAACCGCGGAGCAAGGAGCACACAGUGCCCAAGACGGAAAGCCGGAGGAGAAGAGGAAAGCGCCUCCUCAGCCUCUGGGGGAGCGUAGUAGGGGAAGAGUCACAGACUGACCCUGCGGCUCCUGCCCGGAACCAACCGCAGCGGUAGACCCCACUGAAAGCUACGUCUCCUUACCGACGGCGCUCGCCCCAACAGACUACAACUCCCAGAAGCCCUCGCCCGCGGUCCGGCGACUGCGUGGCAGCACAGGCCGCUUCCUUAUCCGGAAAAGUGCGGGGGUUGGGCGUGAGGGGAACCCCAAGCGCCUGCGCUGGCCUCUGAAAACUACAACUCCCGGCGUGCUCUGGGGCUAGGGAGGGGUCGAAGGUCAUAGGGGCGGACGAUGGUGGAGGUGGGCGGGUCCAGAGGGUCUAGUGACUCCCCAAUUUGCUUCUGCUUCUGCAGGACUGCCCUAAACCCAGCUGGGUAUGAGGAUUUCAUGGCUCUGUCCCAAUUGGCUCUCUGUCAUAUUUUAUUAUCCUUGCCUUUGGGCUUGCGGAUGGCAGGAGGUGUCAAUGUAAAAUAAUCAAAAGCACAAAGUUUGAGGAUAGCCCACCUUAGAAACACCGACUCCUAGGAAAGCAGUCAGCCUUCCGAGGUAGAGAUUUAAGAUUUCGUUUAUGGAGGCAGAAACGGAGACGUUUUUAGGAGGAUGACAACAUUUUCUCAUACAAGUAGAGGGCGCCGAAGAGGCACCGUGAGCAGGACCGUGGUCUCCCAGUGUUUCUGGCUGCUGCGCGGAGUAUCUGUGAUCUUGCAGCCUCGGUCUGGACUGGCGAUAACAUUCCUGAGCAGCUUUUGCACGAGGAAACGGACACCAAAGGCCUGUGGCUCACCCCAGGUGCCCUAAACCACCACUCACUUUGCUACUGACGUUUCCUCCCGCAGGUCCCAGCACCUGCCUCCAUUCCCACCCAUUGCAGAUUCAGGCACACCUCACCUGUAUCCCAACCCCUAAUCUCUCUAUGCAAGCGCACCCUGAUCAUUGAUUACUGUGUUCUACAUGCAUUCUAGAGAGUUACUUCCUACUUGCCCAGGACUGCAGACCAGCUCUGACUAGAACAGACCAGCAAGCUUCUUUGCUCUCCAGUGUGCUGAACUACACCUUCUCUAAUAAGAUCUGAACUCUUAUUGUCCUUCCUUGUGUACCUGCCCCCUGGCCCCAGGUCUAGAAUACCACAGUUUUCCUUGUAGUUGUUCUUUUAUCGAAGUUUAAUAAAUCUUUGUAUUAAAUUUAA